GUCGCUUUAGCUCACUUGGGAGAGCGCCAGACUGAAGGCAAUCCAGCUUGCUGGCAAACCUCGGUUACACCGAACGAUAUCUGGAGGUACUGUGUUCGAUCCACAGAAGCGACA